ACAGGUUACAGGUUAAUCACAUGACUCGGGUUACAGGUCAUCACAUGACUCAGGUUACAGGUCAUCACAUGACUCAGGUUACAGGUCAUCACAUGACUCAGGUUACAGGUCAUCACAUGACUCAGGUCAUCACAUGACUCAGGUUACAGGUCAUCACAUGACUCAGGUUACAGGUCAUCACAUGACUCAGGUUACAGGUCAUCACAUGACUCAGGUUACAGGUCAUCACAUGACUCAGGUUACAGGUCAUCACAUGACUCAGGUUACAGGUCAUCACAUGACUCAGGUUACAGGUCAUCACAUGACUCAGGUUAUCACAUCACUCAGGUUACAGGUACACAUUCACUUCCUGCUGCUUGAUGCUGCUACAACCUAACAACAUUAUAGAAUAAUGAGUACACACACCCAUGAUUAUUAAAGUAAAGACAGUUACAUCAUGUUAAAGCAUCAUUAAACAAGCCAAUAAUCACAACUCUGUUUGAAGGCAGCUGAAGGAACACAACAUGUAAGAUGUCCUGACUUUAGGUCACAGACUACAACAGGCAGACUGUAACAACAGGUAGACUGUAACAACAGUAGACUGUAACAACAGGUAGACUGUAACAACAGUAGACUGUAACAACAGGUAGACUGUAACAACAGGCAGACUGUAACAACAGGUAGACUGUAACAACAGGCAGACUGUAACAACAGGCAGACUGUAACAACAGGCAGACUGUAACAACAGGUGAACUGUAACAACAGGU